GACAAUGAAGAACAGACAACAUUACUAGAACAGAGAAUCAGAUCGUUAUUCGAAUAGUCUUACGUUUACGGUGAAGGAAGUCAGUUCGAGAGGCUCAAGAUGCCUCGUAAAAGUUACUUUGAACUACCGCUAUUCUAAAACUAUUCGACGCGUUCGAUUGGGAAGAUUAAAAAUGAAAUAUUCUAAAAUUACUGAGAUUUGAUGCUUGGCCUGAGAAAGUACAAAUAAUUAACAAAAUGAAAUGUGGAAAAAUUGUCAGCUAAAAUUUUCACGUACUCAAGAAUAAUUCUCUCAGAAACUUUGGAAUAAUGGACGCGUAUAAAUUAUUGUACUACAUUCGCGGUCUUUAUGGCGAACGAACUUUAAAGAUAAUUUUACUCGAGUACAUUUGUAACAUGAAACGGAAAAAAGGAAUUCGAUAUUUAAAAUAAUGAAGUAACGAGAUAUAUCCUUAAAUGAUUAUUUUGAAAAAUAUUCGUAACCGAAAUAAAUUCAUUAUCAUCUUCUCUCAAAUUAAAGUAAAUUGUAGUAUAAUCCCUUUUUGUAUUGGAAAUUUAAAA